CGCAAGUCAAGUCUUUUUGCGUGAUUCAUCAAACAUCCAAUGAAAAAGCUUCUUACAUUGGCAGAAGUAAAUUCUAGUGAUACAGAAAUAUUGCAUAUUGGAAGAGUCAGAAAUGACGUCUACUUUGAAUUUUCGAAAGCAAAAACCAAAUUUUACUAGAAGUGAAAUAGAGUGUAGAAAAGAAUUGGUAAAAAGAGAGUUAGGUGGGAUUUAUAAAACGCCUAAUGACCAAACAAAAGAGUGGGAGGAAAUAACUUUAAAUUCAGUUAACUGUAGGAGUGAUAGUAGAGGAAAAUUAAAGAUAAAUGGCUCGAUCUGAAGCCGAGAUGUAAAAAGAAGGCGAUUUGUUUUUUAAAAGUAUGGAAAAAUAGGCUGAGGACUAUCUGAAUUAUCAUUAACUCCUUUAGAAAGAAAAAAGUUAUUGCAGUAUAUGGCCAAUCAUCAAUAUAUGGUUUAAACAUAUACAGUAUAACUCACAGUACAC
rnacentral:lncRNA from 1 species